rnacentral:rRNA from 1 species
AUGAUUUCCCUAGUAACGGCGAGUGAAGAGGAAAGAGCUCAAAGUUGGAACCUGUUUGGCUUAGCUAAACCGGAUUGUAAACUGUAGAAGUGUUUUCCAGGCACGCCAGGUAAAAAAGUCCUUUGGAACAGGGCAUCAUAGAGGGUGAGAAUCCCGUCUUUGGCCUGAGCAGUUGCCUUUUGUGAUACACUUUCAAAGAGUCAGGUUGUUUGGGAAUGCAGCCUAAAUUGGGUGGUAAAUCUCACCUAAAGCUAAAUAUUUGCGAGAGACCGAUAGCGAACAAGUACCGUGAGGGAAAGAUGAAAAGAACUUUGAAAAGAGAGUUAAACAGUAUGUGAAAUUGUUAAAAGGGAACCGUUUGGAGCCAGACUGGCUUGACUGUAAUCAAUCUAGGCUUCGGCCUGGAUGCACUUGCGGUCUAUGCCUGCCAACGACAAUUUUUUCUCUGGGAAAAAACUAGGAGGAAUGUGGCCCCUCGGGGUGUUUAUAGCCUCUUAGAAAAUACCAGGGAAUGGAUUGAGGAACGCAGUGAAUGCCUUUAGGCAAGAUUGCUGGGCGCUUUCGCUGAUAGAUGCUAGAAUUUCUGCCUUGGGUGGUGCUAGUGUCUAGAGGAGGAACUCGCUUGGUAUAUUUUUUAUUCGCUUAGGUUGUUGGCUUAAUGACUCUAAAUGAC